rnacentral:rRNA from 1 species
AUUGAACGCUGGCGGCAGGCCUAACACAUGCAAGUCGAACGAGUGGCGGACGGGUGAGUAAUGUCUGGGAAACUGCCUGCUGGAGGGGGAUCACUACUGGAAACGGUAGCUAAUCCCGCAUACCAUCGGAUGUGCCCAGAUGGGAUUAGCUAGUAGGUGGGGUAAAGGCCGACCAAGGCGACGAUCCGUAACUGGUCUGAGAGGAUGAUCAGUCACACUGGAACUGAGACACGGGCCAGACGCCUACGGGAGGCAGCAGUGGGGAAUAUUGCACAAUGGGCGCAAGCAUGAUGCAUCCAUGCCGCGUGUAUGAAGAAGGCCUUCGGGUUGUAAAGUACUUUCAGCGGGGAGGCGUUACCCGCAGAAGAAGCACCGGCUAACUCCGUGCCAGCCGCCGCGGUAAUAC